UCUAGAACUCGAGAUAUGGGCUGAACAGUGAACAGUGCCUGGGCUGCAGGACAGAUUUCGACUUCUCCGUUGUAGCUAAGAUUUGGACUUCCAAACAGCAGAAUUGAGUCUUCGACUCUCAUGAAUGUUUUAGGCCUAUGUCUUAGCUUUCUAGC
rnacentral:pre_miRNA from 1 species